rnacentral:rRNA from 1 species
UGGGGAAUUUUGGACAAUGGGGGCAAGCCCUGAUCCAGCAAUGCCGCGUGAGUGAAGAAGGCCUCGGGUUGUAAAGCUCUUUGUCAGGGAAGAAACGGUAGUAGCGAAUAACUAUUACUAAUGACGGUACCUGAAGAAUAAGCACCGGCUAACUACGUGCCAGCAGCCGCGGUAAUACGUAGGGUGCAAGCGUUAAUCGGAAUUACUGGGCGUAAAGCGUGCGCAGGCGGUUGUGUAAGUCAGAUGUGAAAUCCCCGGGCUCAA